rnacentral:tRNA from 1 species
GGGAAGGUGGCUCAGUGGUAGAGUGCUUGCCUUGCAUGCAUGAGGCCGUGGGUUCCAUUCCU